rnacentral:lncRNA from 1 species
CCAGGUUCAGAGAUGGGGCUGGGAGGCCUUCGGAGAUUAUGGAGGAAUUGAGACUAUGACAACAUUCAGAAAUUAUGGUUGUUGUCAUAAGCAGUUACCGUGCUAAAAUGGGAGAUGGAUGGAGCUCCUCCAAUUAAGGGAUAUAGUUCUCUACUUUUUAAAUAUCUUCUUAUGCCUCGAUUUGGCCAAUUUUAUUCGGCAGAGUCAACUUUUUGUCAGUUCUGUGUCCUCGUGAAAUCAGAGAGGUUUGCUCCAUAAAAUAAAGACCAUCUGUUAUGGUUUGGAUGUGAAAUGUUCCUUAAAAAGCAAAUGUGGCAAUGCAGGAGUGUUCAGAGGUGAAAUGAUUAUUAGAUUGAGAGCUGUAACCUAGUCGGUAGAUUAGUCCAUUUGAAGGAUUAAUAAUUUGAAUGGAUUACUGUGUGGUAACUGUGAGGAGGUGGUGCAUAGCUGGAGGAAGUAGGUCACUGGGGGCAUGCCCUUGGGGAUUAUCUUUUGUCCCUGGCUACUGGCACUCUCUGCUUCCUAGCUACCAUAAGAUGAGCAGCUUUCCUCCACCAUGCUUUCUGCCAUGAUAUUCUGCCUUACUCAGACCCAGAGCAAUAGAAUCAGCCAACCAUAUGAACUUCUAAAACCAUGAUCCCAAAAUAAACCUUUCUUCCUCUAAAUUGUGUUUGUCAGGUAUUUUGGUCACAGAGAUAAAAAGUUGACUAACACACCAGCCAGUUCAAUAACUGUAAGUCAGCUCCCCUUUUCUAACCAUAACUUCUGUGAUCUGAUGAUAUCUCUGCCAUUCAAAAAUGUUUGUAUUACUGCUGAAAUCACGGCCUCUAGGAGGAAUCUACCAUAGCAUCUGCAACCAAGGAGAACAACAUUGUAAAUGUUGUCUUGCCCUUCAUCUGUGUAUUUCUAAUUUUUUUUUUUUUUUGAGGGGAAUGUUGCUAGCACUCAGGAGACAUAGUUAUAGGUGAGUGGAAAGUUGUCCAUGCAGAAUUUGCAGGGAAAUGGAUGGCAUUAGAGCAGAUUGUGCUAAGUGAAGCUAGCCAAUCCCUAAAAAACAAAUGCCAAAUGUCUUCUUUGAUAUAAGGAGAACAACUAAAAACAGAGCAGUGAGGAAGAGCAUGAGAAAAAGAUUAACAUUAAAC